CCUACGGGUGGCAGCAGUGAGGAAUAUUGGUCAAUGGACGCAAGUCUGAACCAGCCAUGCCGCGUGCAGGAAGACGGCUCUAUGAGUUGUAAACUGCUUUUGUACGAGGGUAAACGCAGAUACGCGUAUCUUUCUGAAAGUAUCGUACGAAUAAGGAUUGGCUAAAUCCGUUCCAGCAGCCGCGGGAAUACGGAGGAUUGGAGCGUUAUCCGGAUUGAUUGGGUUGAAAGGGUGCGUAGGCGGUCGGAUAAGUUAGAGGUGAAAUCCCGAGGGUCAACGUCGGAAUUGCCUGUGAUACUGUUCGGCUAGAGAGUAGUAGCGGUAGGCGGAAUGUAUGGUGUAGCGGUGAAAUGCUUAGAGAUCAUACAGAACACCGAUUGCGAAGGCAGCUUACCAAGCUACUUCUGACGUUGAGGCACGAAAGCGUGGGGAGCAAACAGGAUUAGAUACCCGAGUAGUC
rnacentral:rRNA from 1 species